rnacentral:rRNA from 1 species
GACGUAGGGGGCAAGCGUUAUUCGGAAUCAUUGGGCGUAAAGCGCUCGUAGGCGGAUCGGACAGUCGGUGAAGAAAGACCCGGGCUCAACUCGGGGAACGGCACCGAUACUAUCGAUCUUGAGGCAAUCAGAGGGUGAUGGAAUUCCCGGUGUAGCGGUGAAAUGCGUAGAUAUCGGGAGGAACGACCGAUGGCGAAGGCAGGUCUCUGGGCAUUAACUGACGCUGAGGAGCGAAAGCAUGGGGAGCGAACGAGGAUUGAUGAUACCCUACG